AACAAACGCUGGCGGCGUGCCUAAUACAUGCAAGUCGAACGGGGAAAGCUUUCGGGUGAGUACUAGUGGCGCACGGGUGAGUAACGCGUGGAUAAUCUGCCUUAGAGUGGGGGAUAACUAGUCGAAAGAUUAGCUAAUACCGCAUAAGACCACAAGAACUGCGGUUCAAGGGGUCAAAGGUUUUUCGCUCUAAGAUGAGCCCGCGUAAGAUUAGCUAGUUGGUAGGGUAACGGCCUACCAAGGCGACGAUCUUUAACUGGUCUGAGAGGAUGAGCAGUCACACUGGGGCUGAGACACGGUACAGACUCCUACGGGAGGCAGCAGUAGGGAAUAUUGAGCAAUGGAGGAAACGCUGAUGCAGCGACGCCGCGUGAGUGAUGAAGGCCUUCGGGUCGUAAAGCUCUGUCGCAGGGGAAUAACACAAUGAAGGUACCCUGUAAGAAAGGAUCGGCUAACUGCGUGCCAGCCGCCGCAGUAACAC
rnacentral:rRNA from 1 species